UACGGAGGAUGCGAGCGUUAUCCGGAUUUAUUGGGUUUAAAGGGUGCGUAGGCGGACUGUCAAGUCAGCGGUAAAAUUGAGAGGCUCAACCUCUUCCCGCCGUUGAAACUGGUGGUCUUGAGUGGAUGAGAAGUACGCGGAAUGCGUGGUGUAGCGGUGAAAUGCAUAGAUAUCACGCAGAACUCCGAUUGCGAAGGCAGCGUACCGGCACCCAACUGACGCUGAGGCACGAAAGCGUGGGGAUCAAACAGG
rnacentral:rRNA from 1 species